AUUGAACGCUAGCGGGAGGCCUAACACAUGCAAGUCGAACGAGUGGCGGACGGGUGAGUAAUGUCUGGGAACGUGCCCGAUGGAGGGGGAUAACUACUGGAAAGGGUAGCUAAUACCGCAUACUAUUGGAUGGGCCGAGAUGGGAUUAGCUAGUUGGGGGGGUAACGGCUCACCAAGGCGACGAUCCCUAGCUGGUUUGAGAGGAUGACCAGCCACACUGGGACUGAGACACGGUCCAGACGCCUACGGGAGGCAGCAGUGGGGAAUUUUGGACAAUGGGCGCAACCCUGAUGCAGCCAUCCCGCGUGUAUGAUGAAGGCCUUCGGGUUGUAAAGUACUUUCGGCGGAGAGGCGUUACCCGCAGAAGAAGCACCGGCUAACUACGUGCCAGCAGCCGCGGUAAUUC
rnacentral:rRNA from 1 species